CCUACGGGAGGCUGCAGUGAGGAAUAUUGGUCAAUGGACGAGAGUCUGAACCAGCCAAGUAGCGUGAAGGAUGACUGCCCUAUGGGUUGUAAACUUCUUUUAUAAAGGAAUAAAACGAGGCACGUGUGCCUUUUUGCAUGUACUUUAUGAAUAAGGAUCGGCUAACUCCGUGCCAGCAGCCGCGGUAAUACGGAGGAUCCGAGCGUUAUCCGGAUUUAUUGGGUUUAAAGGGAGCGUAGAUGGGUUGUUAAGUCAGUUGUGAAAGGUUGCGGCUCAACCGUAAAAUUGCAAUUGAUACUGGCAGUCUUGAGUACAGUUGAGGUAAGCGGAAUUCGUGGUGUAGCGGUGAAAUGCUUAGAUAUCACGAAGAACCCCGAUUGCGAAGGCAGCUUACUAAACUGUGACUGACAUUGAUGCUCGAAAGUGUGGGUAUCAAACAGGAUUAGAUACCCGAGUAGUC
rnacentral:rRNA from 1 species